rnacentral:rRNA from 1 species
AGUAGAACGCUGAAGAGAGGAGCUUGCUCUUCUUGGAUGAGUUGCGAACGGGUGAGUAACGCGUAGGUAACCUGCCUUGUAGCGGGGGAUAACUAUUGGAAACGAUAGCUAAUACCGCAUAACAAUGGAUGACACAUGUCAUUUAUUUGAAAGGGGCAAUUGCUCCACUACAAGAUGGACCUGCGUUGUAUUAGCUAGUAGGUGAGGUAACGGCUCACCUAGGCGACGAUACAUAGCCGACCUGAGAGGGUGAUCGGCUACACUGGGACUGAGACACGGCCCAGACUCCUACGGGAGGCAGCAGUAGGGAAUCUUCGGCAAUGGGGGCAACCCUGACCGAGCAACGCCGCGUGAGUGAAGAAGGUUUUCGGAUCGUAAAGCUCUGUUGUAAGUCAAGAACGAGUGUGAGAGUGGAAAGUUCACACUGUGACGGUAGCUUACCAGAAAGGGACGGCUAACUACGUGCCAGCAGCCGCGGUAAUACGUAGGUCCCGAGCGUUGUCCGGAUUUAUUGGGCGUAAAGCGAGCGCAGGCGGUUUGAUAAGUCUGAAGUUAAAGGCUGUGGCUCAACCAUAGUUCGCUUUGGAAACUGUCAAACUUGAGUGCAGAAGGGGAGAGUGGAAUUCCAUGUGUAGCGGUGAAAUGCGUAGAUAUAUGGAGGAACACCGGUGGCGAAAGCGGCUCUCUGGUCUGUAACUGACGCUGAGGCUCGAAAGCGUGGGGAGCGAACAGGA